rnacentral:rRNA from 1 species
AUGGUGGUGGAUGCCCUGGCCUCUAUCCUCGACAAGGCCAAGGAUGCCGGCCAUAUCCGCAGCAUCGUAUCCGAUCUAGUCAGAGGGGGAGGGGUCUCCCUCCUUCAAUAUGCGGAUGAUACCAUAAUAAUGGUUGAGGGGUCUGUUCAGGACAUAGCUAACCUAAAGUUCCUCCUCCUGUGCUUCCAACAGAUGUUGGGACUAACCAUAAACUUUGAUAAGAGCAAAGUGAUGGUUCUUGGGUACCCCCCGUUGGAAGCACAGGCUAUCGCAGACCGACUAAAUUGUCGGUUGGGUUCUUUCCCCACGACCUACCUGGGGAUCCCCAUUAGUGAUUCGCGCUUCACCGUGGCGGAUCUUCGCCCCACGGUGACCCCUAUGCAACACCGCAUUGAGCCCUGGAAAGGGUGCUGGUUGUCGAAGGCUGCGCGCGUGAUCCUCAUCAACUCCUCACUUGCCAACCUUCUAUGGUUCCUCAUGAGCUUCUAUAGCCUCCAUGAGACGCUUCAUAAGGAAAUUGCCAAGUACCAGUCCAGAUUCUUCUGGGCUGGCGAGGAUGAUAAGCAAAAGUACCACAUGGUGAGCUGA